rnacentral:rRNA from 1 species
UACGGAGGAUGCAAGCGUUAUCCGGAAUGAUUGGGCGUAAAGCGUCCGCAGGUGGCAAUGUAAGUCUGCUGUUAAAGAGUCUAGCUCAACUAGAUAAAGGCAGUGGAAACUACAUAGCUAGAGUGCGUUCGGGGUAGAGGGAAUUCCUGGUGUAGCGGUGAAAUGCGUAGAUAUCAGGAAGAACACCGGUGGCGAAGGCGCUCUACUAGGCCGCAACUGACACUGAGGGACGAAAGCUAGGGGAGCGAAUGGG